rnacentral:rRNA from 1 species
CCUACGGGUGGCAGCAGUGGGGAAUAUUGCACAAUGGGGGAAACCCUGAUGCAGCGACGCCGCGUGAAGGAUGAAGUAUUUCGGUAUGUAAACUUCUAUCAGCAGGGAAGAAAAUGACGGUACCUGACUAAGGAGCCCCGGCUAACUACGUGCCAGCAGCCGCGGUAAUACGUAGGGGGCAAGCGUUAUCCGGAUUUACUGGGUGUAAAGGGAGCGUAGACGGCAUGGCAAGUCUGAUGUGAAAACCCGGGGCUCAACCCCGGGACUGCAUUGGAAACUGUCAGGCUAGAGUGUCGGAGAGGCAAGUGGAAUUCCUAGUGUAGCGGUGAAAUGCGUAGAUAUUAGGAGGAACACCAGUGGCGAAGGCGGCUUACUGGACUGUAACUGACGUUGAGGCUCGAAAGCGUGGGGAGCAAACAGGAUUAGAUACCCCAGUAGUC